rnacentral:lncRNA from 10 species
GACGCCUGAGAAGUGGAAGGACCCGGCGUCCAGGACAGGAAAGUGCGUGAUUUACAGCUAGAGGGAUAGGCGCUGUCCCGGAGCCCGUCCUGGGCCAGGGAGCAGGAGAGGGAGGGACUACAGUUCCCGACGCGCUGCGGGGCGGGCGGAGAUCGUGCGCUUCGGCGCCAGUUGCACGGCCUUAGCAGCCAGUGGCGGCUCCCCUGCUCCUGUAACAGUCCCCUUGUCUUCUGACCUUUCGCUCCUCGGUCAUGUGUCCUCGCCGGUCGCCGCGGCAGCCAGUGAUGCCCGAGCGGCGGGUUCCCAGGCCCAGGUGUGGGCGCCACCGCCCACCAUGCGCCAAGCCCAGAGCCUGGUUGAAUCGUUCGCCACCUUGUCUACCCAUUUUGGCCAUUAUCCUGCCACCUCCAAAUCCUGUUUUUGACACUUCUCGGGAGAGAGAGAAAACGGAAAGAUAAAGGAAUAAACUCCUCGUGGUCGUAGUUAGUGGGUAAAUUCAGAUCUCGUUUGAACCGAGGUUUUUCUUAUCUCCAGCCACCGUAUCCACCACCACCAGAAUCGUCUUUUUAGUCAUCACAGCUGGUCGCCGUCAGUACCUUGUUCAGAAGCCUCUCGCAGCUUCCAUCGUGUGGUUAUACAAUCCAAAUUCCUUAUAAAGUCCAAAUUCAAGAGGAGGAAUGCACGUUUAGUUAAGUUAAUGUCUAGACCUUACCAGCCAAUUUCUAGCUCCUCAGUAUGGAAAUUGCAACUGAAAACACCCCUUCCAAAAAAAGCAGUCUGCAUUUUUCUCUGAGUUUUCUUCUCCAAAUUUCGCACCCCUGACCUUGCUUACACACUCUGGAUACCACCUGCUGUGGAGUGGCGGAAGCAGACAUCCAGCGAUAGCUAAGUUUCCUGUCGUUGACACCCAAGCAAGACAGGCGUGUACCUAACUGAGGACCUGCCGGUGAUAGAAGUCUCAGCUUUUCUCAGAGACAGAUGAGUCUUCCCUUUAAAUGCUGCAAAGUGCUGCAUAGUAGAUGUUAAAUGAAAGUCAGAAAGAAUCAAAUGUGCUGCAAAUAAUUGAAGGCAAAGUCCCAAACCAGAAUGCAGUCCCCUGGCCAGUGACCCUAGAGAUGACGCUGGCUCCGGCGGUGGCUCCAGGUUCCUGGAAAGGAACGCAAGCUCACUGCAAGCACACUGGAAAGGCAUGGACAAGGACGGAAACACAGUUGCUCCCGAUCUCAGGACAGAGAAGCCCCCUCUCAUAGCAUCCAAGCUCCAGGACAGACCUGCCCGCCUCAGCUCCUGAAACCCGGCCUGGGGUGCUCUCCAGCCAGCUCUUUUCUGACAGUGCUGAAAGGAGACAUCAUGAUGCAGGGAUGGCAAGAAUGAAAUCACAUCUUUUAAGGGAAUGAGAGAGACUGGUUUGCGGAUCAAGAGGAAACAGCAUGAAAGAGCUCUGAGGGCUUCAUCCUGGGUAGGAAGCCACUUUGCCCACUGAAUAUUUUCUUCUCACACAAAGGACUUGCAUGAGGGAACCGAGAAAGGAAACUGGGAACACACAGCCACAAGAGGCAGUGACUCCUAACUGUCCUCAGGUUCAAUGCCACACCCAUCGAACUAAGAAUGUGCCAGCGCCAUCAUCAGAAAAAUGUUAGGAAUUACAUCUCAUAAACUAAAAAAGAGCUAGAAAACCGUGACACCAUCAGAGCAUCUUCCUGACACCUGCACCCAGGCCAGGAAAUGGCCUGCCAAGGUGCCCUCCAUCUCUGUGUCCUCCACUGGGUCCCCUAGACUCACAGGGUCACUGUGGCUUCCAUUCCCAUGAGAUGCACUGCCUGUGCCUUGCCCUCCAUCCACAGCAUUCACUAUGUUGAAGGGAAUGAGGGAAUGCCUGUUAUCCCUGUCACAGACACCACGUGGGGCCCAUGGGCCAGGCACCACAAGCCUGUGCACCCUGCCAUACCCGAUCAAGGGCCUCCCUGGACAUUAACAAUGGCUAUGAAGAGGGAUGACAAACAAAUGUGUCCCAAGAAGGGGUGAACGUUAAGAUAGGCUGUGCAGGAAGUCAACAGUGAAAGGUUAUGGUGACAGCAGGGCAAGGAGGCCUUCAGUGUGGCAGGAAUGAGGGCUGUUAGGACAGGGCCCGUGAAGACACUGGAGGAGGCAGUGGCAGGUCCUGGAGGGUCACGGAGGCCACACGACGGCAUUUGGGCACCAAGCAAAUGACAAUGGAGAGCCAUGGAAGGCUGGACUUGGAGAAGUGUCUAUACUGGAUGUGUCCUUGUGUUGGAGAUGAGAGCAGAAGUGGAAUCUGCAGAAGCCUGAGUGGUCACAGGAUCCUGCCCCAUCAGUGAUGCUGGACAAGGCUCAGUUGCAGCUCAGGUGGGACUCAGCAGGCCAGAGACAUGCACAG